rnacentral:rRNA from 1 species
AGCGAACGCUGGCGGCAGGCUUAACACAUGCAAGUCGAGCGGGCCCUUCGGGGUCAGCGGCAGACUGGUGAGUAACACGUGGGAACGUACCCUUUGGUUCGGAAGAACGCUGGGAAACUAGCGCUAAUACCGGAUACGCCCUUUUGGGGAAAGGCUUGCUGCCGAAGGAUCGGCCCGCGUCUGAUUAGCUAGUUGGUGGGGUAAUGGCCUACCAAGUCGACGAUCAGUAGCUGGUCUGAGAGGAUGAUCAGCCACACUGGGACUGAGACACGGCCCAGACUCCUACGGGAGGCAGCAGUGGGGAAUAUUGGACAAUGGGCGCAAGCCUGAUCCAGCCAUGCCGCGUGAGUGAUGAAGGCCUUAGGGUUGUAAAGCUCUUUUGUCCGGGACGAUAAUGACGGUACCGGAAGAAUAAGCCCCGGCUAACUUCGUG